rnacentral:lncRNA from 1 species
GCCAAUACUACGAAUCAUAUGGAGGCUGCUGCUGCAUGGACACAGCGGUAAACCUGGUUUAAAGAAGAAAAAACAAACAAACAAACAAACGGACACCCCCUCCCCCAAAGGCCGUUUCUUGGGACGGAGACGCAGCGCCGCCGCCAGCGGCCGCUGGGUCGGACAGGCUCGCACCCAAACUCAUCUGUAAGACCGGACGCAUGAAAUCUGUGCAUCUACCACCC